CUACGGGAUGCAGCAGUGGGGAAUAUUGGACAAUGGGUGAAACCCUGAUCCAGCAAUGCCGCGUGUGUGAAGAAGGCCUGCGGGUUGUAAAGCACUUUCGGUUGGGAGGACUGCUUCUAGCACUAAUAUUGUUGGAAGUUGACGUUACCUUCAGAAGAAGCACCGGCUAACUCCGUGCCAGCAGCCGCGGUAAUACGGAGGGUGCAAGCGUGUAAUCGGAAUUACUGGGCGUAAAGCGCGCGUAGGCGGCUAGAUCAGUCGGGUGUGAAAGCCCCGGGCUUAACCUGGGAACUGCAUCCGAUACUGUCUAGCUUGAGUACAGGAGAGGAGAGUGGAAUUCCACAUGUAGCGGUGAAAUGCGUAGAUAUGUGGAGGAACACCAAUGGCGAAGGCAGCUCUCUGGCCUGAUACUGACGCUGAGGUGCGAAAGCGUGGGGAGCAAACAGGAUUAGAUACCCCUGUAGUC
rnacentral:rRNA from 1 species